CAGUCGCCACGGUAAUACGUAGGUGGCAAGCGUUGUCCGGAAUUAUUGGGCGUAAAGGGCUCGCAGGCGGUUUCUUAAGUCUGAUGUGAAAGCCCCCGGCUCAACCGGGGAGGGUCAUUGGAAACCGGGAAACUUGAGUGCAGAAGAGGAGAGUGGAAUUCCACGUGUAGCGGUGAAAUGCGUAGAGAUGUGGAGGAACACCAGUGGCGAAGGCGACUCCCUGGUCCGGAACUGACGCUGAGGAGCGAAAGCGUGGGGAGCGAACAGGAUUAGAGACCCCGGUAGUCCCUGUCUCUUAUAC
rnacentral:rRNA from 1 species